CCCUACGGGACGCAGCAGUGGGGAAUAUUGCACAAUGGGGGAAACCCUGAUGCAGCGACGCCGCGUGAGUGAAGAAGUAUUUCGGUAUGUAAAGCUCUAUCAGCAGGGAAGAAAAAAGACGGUACCUGACUAAGAAGCCCCGGCUAACUACGUGCCAGCAGCUGCGGUAAUACGUAGGGGGCAAGCGUUAUCCGGAUUUACUGGGUGUAAAGGGAGCGUAGACGGCAGUGCAAGUCUGAAGUGAAAGGCAUGGGCUCAACCCUUGGACUGCUUUGGAAACUGUGCUGCUCGAGUGUCGGAGAGGG
rnacentral:rRNA from 1 species